rnacentral:rRNA from 1 species
UACGUAGGGUGCGAGCGUUGUCCGGAAUUAUUGGGCGUAAAGAGCUUGUAGGCGGUUUGUCGCGUCUGCUGUGAAAUCCCGAGGCUCAACCUCGGGCCUGCAGUGGGUACGGGCAGACUAGAGUGCGGUAGGGGAGAUUGGAACUCCUGGUGUAGCGGUGGAAUGCGCAGAUAUCAGGAAGAACACCGAUGGCGAAGGCAGAUCUCUGGGCCGUAACUGACGCUGAGGAGCGAAAGCAUGGGGAGCGAACAGG